UACUCCCUCCGUCCCAUAAUAUAGCAACCUAGUACCGGAUGAGACAUCUUAUAGUACUGGGUUGCUAUAUUAUGGGACGGAGGGAGUAU
rnacentral:pre_miRNA from 1 species